GCCCGGGUGGCGAAAUUGGUAGACGCAAGGGACUUAAACUUCCUCGGCCGGUAACGGCCGUACCGGUUCGACCCCGGUCCCGGGCACCA
rnacentral:tRNA from 1 species